AGCACACCCAGACUGUGUAGAAUUAAACUGAUGGUGCUAUAUGAUCGAUAUAGCCUACAAGGUUCCAAAUCUCCAUAAAACACCCUGAAGUCCUUUCAGGGUCACGGUGGGGCCGGUGCCAAUCUCCAGCCGUCUAUGAGCAAGUGUCGGGGUACAUCCUGGACAGGUCGCCGGGCUUAAUAUUUGCUCUUCUGCCUGAGAGGCUUUGAUGAGAACUGCAGCUGAUCUGGACUGAUGUGUUCAGCAGACGACUGGAUAAGAAAGCCAAAUCCAAAGAGCCUCUGAGCAUCAGUUCAGACCUCUUUAGUGUGCGCUCUUGGCUCUCUGUGUCAGGAUGACA